CCUACGGGAGGCAGCAGUGGGGAAUAUUGGACAAUGGGGGCAACCCUGAUCCAGCCAUGCCGCGUGUGUGAAGAAGGCCCUCGGGUUGUAAAGCACUUUCAGUGAGGAAGAACGCCUGGUGGUUAAUACCCAUCAGGAAAGACAUCACUCACAGAAGAAGCACCGGCUAACUCCGUGCCAGCAGCCGCGGUAAUACGGAGGGUGCGAGCGUUAAUCGGAAUUACUGGGCGUAAAGCGCGCGUAGGUGGCUUGAUAAGCCGGUUGUGAAAGCCCCGGGCUCAACCUGGGAACGGCAUCCGGAACUGUCAAGCUAGAGUGCAGGAGAGGAAGGUAGAAUUCCCGGUGUAGCGGUGAAAUGCGUAGAGUUCGGGAGGAAUACCAGUGGCGAAGGCGGCCUUUUGGACUGACACUGACACUGAGGUGCGAAAGCGUGGGUAGCAAACAGGAUUAGAUACCCUAGUAGUC
rnacentral:rRNA from 1 species